rnacentral:rRNA from 1 species
CAAGUCGAACGCGAAAGUCCCCUUCGGGGGGCAAGUAGAGUGGCGCACGGGUGAGUAACACGUAGGUAAUCUACCUUUGGAUUGGGAAUAACAACCGGAAACGGUUGCUAAUACCGAAUAAUGCAGCGGCACCUAAUGGUGACAGUUGUUAAAGCGGGGGAUCGCAAGACCUCGCGUCUGAAGAGGAGCCUGCGGCAGAUUAGCUAGUUGGUAAGGUAACGGCUUACCAAGGCUAUGAUCUGUAGCCGGCCUGAGAGGGCGGUCGGCCACACUGACACUGACAUACGGGUCAGACUCCUACGGGAGGCAGCAGUCGGGAAUUUUGGGCAAUGGGCGAAAGCCUGACCCAGCAACGCCGCGUGAAGGAUGAAAUCCCUCGGGAUGUAAACUUCGCAAGAACGGGAAGAAUAAGUAAGAGUUAAUAUCUCUUACGAUGACGGUACUGUUUGUAAGCUCCGGCUAACUCCGUGCCAGCAGCCGCGGUAAUACGGGGGGAGCAAGCGUUGUUCGGAUUUACUGGGCGUAAAGGGCGCGUAGGCGGCCACCGCAAGUCGACUGUGAAAUCUCCGGGCUUAACCCGGAAAGGUCAGCCGAUACUGCGGGGCUAGAGUGCAGAAGGGGCAACUGGAAUUCUCGGUGUAGCGGUGAAAUGCGUAGAUAUCGAGAGGAUCACCUGCGGCGAAGGCGGGUUGCUGGGCUGACACUGACGCUGAGGCGCGAAAGCUAGGGGAGCGAACGGGAUUAGAUACCCCGGUAGUCCUAGCCUUAAACGAUGAAUGCUUGGUGUCUGGGGUUUUAUAGUCCCCGGGUGCCGUCGCUAACGCUUUAAGCAUUCCGCCCGGGGGAGUACGGUCGCAAGACUGAAACUCAAAGGAAUUGACGGGGACC